AGAGCGAACGCUGGCGGCAGGCCUAACACAUGCAAGUCGAGCGCCCGUAGCAAUACGGGAGCGGCAGACGGGAUAGUAACACGUGGGAACGCGCCCUUCGGUUCGGAAUAACUCAGGGAAACUUGAGCUAAUACCGGAUACGCCCUUACGGGGAAAGAUUUAUUGCCGAAGGAACGGCCCGCGUCCGAUUAGCUAGUUGGUGAGGUAAUGGCUCACCAAGGCGACGAUCGGUAGCUGGUCUGAGAGGAUGACCAGCAUCACUGGGACCUGAGACACGGCCCAGACUCCUACGGGAGGCAGCAGUGGGGAAUAUUGGACAAUGGGCGCAAGCCUGAUCCAGCCAUGCCGCGUGGAUGAUGAAGGCCUUAGGGUUGUAAAGUCCUUUUAACGGGGAAGAUAAUGGCGGUACCCGUAGAAUAAGCCCCGGCUAACUUCGUGCCAGCAGCCGC
rnacentral:rRNA from 1 species